GUGGGGAAUAUUGGACAAUGGGCGAAAGCCUGAUCCAGCCAUGCCGCGUGUGUGAAGAAGGUCUUCGGAUUGUAAAGCACUUUAAGUUGGGAGGAAGGGCAGUAAGUUAAUACCUUGCUGUUUUGACGUUACCGACAGAAUAAGCACCGGCUAACUUCGUGCCAGCAGCCGCGGUAAUACGAAGGGUGCAAGCGUUAAUCGGAAUUACUGGGCGUAAAGCGCGCGUAGGUGGUUUUGUAAGUUGGAGGUGAAAUACCCGGGCUCAACCUGGGAACUGCCUCCAAAACUGCAUGACUAGAGUACGGUAGAGGGUAGUGGAAUUUCCUGUGUAGCGGUGAAAUGCGUAGAUAUAGGAAGGAACACCAGUGGCGAAGGCGACUACCUGGACUGAUACUGACACUGAGGUGCGAAAGCGUGGGGAGCAAACAGGAUUAGAAACCCCUGUAGUCC
rnacentral:rRNA from 1 species